ensembl:lncRNA LINC01934 long intergenic non-protein coding RNA 1934
UUUUAGUAUUCAGAGAAUGACCUGAACUUAGCUGUGUUAAGUUGCCUGCUCCACAGGAAACCACCUCUGUAACUGUUGCUUGCUGCUUUCUCUUUAGGCAACACCCAAAGCCACUGUCAGAUGUCAUGGAGAUGAGACCUCACAAGCCUACUCAACGUGAAGAUGAUGAGAAUGAAGACCUUUAUGAUGAUCUGCUUCCACUUAAAGAAUAGUAUUUGGCUGACUCCUGGACUAUGCAAGCACAAGAAGAGAUUUCAGAAGGUUUGGAAGAGAGUCUCUUCUGAGAGGCUGAGGGCUAAGAAGACUGCCCUGUGCAGGAAAGAUGUUGGAGUGCAAGCCCAUCUGGAAUGGAGAGACCUCGAUGAAACACAUAGGCAAUUAAUUAGAUCCCAGAAAGGCCACACUGUGCAAGUUUUGAUAUUUCUUUUCUAAAAAUAUUGGAGGCCUUAAUCAAGAGGAUCCUUGAAACAUAUCCACCUGACAGUUGGAGGACAAUUCUAUACCCCUAGAGAUCUUUCAUAAGUAGCAUACGGAUAUUCAUUUUUGAUCAAAUUUGGGGAAUCUCUAUUUCAAUAAUGAAGUUUGAUGACUUUUGAUAAAUGUGAACUGCUGCAUAACCAUCAUCACAAUGGAGAUUCAGAACAUUUCCAUCAUUUCAGAAAGCUUUCUCAUGCCACUUUGUAGCC